rnacentral:rRNA from 1 species
GAAACGACUGCUAAGACUGGAUAGGAAAAGUGAAGGCAUCUUUACUUUUUUAAAAGACCUUCUUUGAAGGUAUGCUUAAGGAGGGGCUUGCGACACAUUAGUUAGUUGGCAGGGUAAAGGCCUACCAAGACUAUGAUGUGUAGCUGGACUGAGAGGUUGAACAGCCACAUUGGGACUGAGACACGGCCCAAACUCCUACGGGAGGCAGCAGUAGGGAAUUUUCGGCAAUGGAGGAAACUCUGACCGAGCAACGCCGCGUGAACGAUGAAGUACCUCGGUAUGUAAAGUUCUUUUAUUAAGGAAGAAAAAAGAGUGGAAAAACUCCCUUGACGGUACUUAAUGAAUAAGCCCCGGCUAAUUAUGUGCCAGCAGCCGCGGUAAUACAUAAGGGGCGAGCGUUAUCCGGAGUUAUUGGGCGUAAAGGGUGCGUAGGCGGUUUAAUAAGUCUAUAGUUUAAUUUCAGCGCUUAACGCUGUUGUGCUAUAGAAACUGUUUUACUAGAGUGAGAUAGAGGCAAGCGGAAUUCCAUGUGUAGCGGUAAAAUGCGUAAAUAUAUGGAGGAACAUCAGAGGCGUAGGCGGCUUGCUGGGUCUUUACUGACGCUGAGGCACGAAAGCGUGGGGAGCAAACAGGAUUAGAUACCCUGGUAGUCCACGCCGUAAACGAUGAGUACUAAGUGUCGGGUAAAACCGGUACUGAAGUUAACACAUUAAGUACUCCGCCUGAGGAGUACGUACGCAAGUAUGAAACUUAAAGGAAUUGACGGGACUCCGCACAAGCGGUGGAUCAUGUUGUUUAAUUCGAAGAUACACGAAAAACCUUACCAGGUCUUGACAUUUUCUUGCGAAGUUAUAGAAAUAUAAUGGAGGUUAUCAGGAAAACAGGUGGUGCAUGGUUGUCGUCAGCUCGUGUCGUGAGAUGUUAGGUUAAGUCCUAAAACGAGCGCAACCCUUGUCGUUAAUUGCCAGCAUGUAAUGAUGGGGACUUUAACGAGACUGCCAAUGAAAAAUUGGAGGAAGGUGGGGAUUACGUCAAAUCAUCAUGCCCCUUAUGAUCUGGGCUACAAACGUGAUACAAUGGUUGAUACAAAGAGUAGCUGAAACGCGAGUUCUUAGCCAAUCUCGCAAAAUCAAUCUCAGUUCGGAUUGAAGUCUGCAACUCGACUUCAUGAAGUUGGAAUCGCUAGUAAUCGUGAAUCAGCAUGUCGCGGUGAAUACGUUCUCGGGGUUUGUACACACCGCCCGUCA